GAUGAACGCUGGCGGCGUGCCUAAUACAUGCAAGUCGAGCGAACAGACGAGGAGCUUGCUCCUCUGACGUUAGCGGCGGACGGGUGAGUAACACGUGGAUAACCUACCUAUAAGACUGGGAUAACUUCGGGAAACCGGUGCUAAUACCGGAUAAUAUAUUUAACCGCAUGGUUCAAUAGUGAAAGACGCUUUUGCUGCACCUUAUAGUUGGAUCCGCGCCGCAUUAGCUAGUUGGUAAGGUAACGGCUUACCAAGGCAACGAUGCGUAGCCGACCUGAGAGGGUGAUCGGCCACACUGGAACUGAGACACGGUCCAGACUCCUACGGGAGGCAGCAGUAGGGAAUCUUCCGCAAUGGGCGAAAGCCUGACGGAGCAACGCCGCGUGAGUGAUGAAGGUCUUCGGAUCGUAAAACUCUGUUAUUAGGGAAGAACAAAUGUGUAAGUAACUAUGCACGUCUUGACGGUACCUAAUCAGAAAGCCACGGCUAACUACGUG
rnacentral:rRNA from 1 species